UAUGAAACCUCAUGGGCAGUUGCAAGGAUGGUAGAAACAAAUUAAAUGAAACCAUAACCUCACUUCUGUUCUGUUUUUAAAGGUACGAGAAUGUAAAUACUGAAUAACAUUACGCCGAACUGAAAUGAGAAUUCGCCGUCCUAGAACCUUGACCAGUGGGAAUGUAAUAUUUGCUACGAUUCUUGGUACGAUCGGAGGUGUUUAUAUUUGGAAACCAUUCUGGAAAGAGCAAAUGAGUAAAAGAAUUGUUGAAAAACCAGAAGCAAAGUAAAAUAUGAAGUUUUAAAUCUGUACCAGUGUGUAAGACCUCCGUGGAAGAAGAGUGAAAUAAAGUCUGUGGAAAUUGCAACUUUAAAUACACAAAAUGAAAAGAUCUGGACUGUUCAGCCUUGUAAACAGUCAUCCCGUAACACUAAUGGCUGCAGGACUUGUUGCUACCUGUGGUAUAUUAUUUACAUAUCACAAAGUUAUAAAACCUGUUUUAAAAAAAAGAAAAUAUGAAGAAGCAAAGGGUUAUGCAGAAUAUUUAUUUCAAGAAGAAUCAAAGAAACCGAACUCCUAAAGAAGCCACACAAUGUAACCAAGUAAAAGCACUGAAGUUGACAUACGUGAAAUGUGCACAAAAUAGUAAUUUAAUAUUAAAUUAGUUUUGAAAAGAAGGUUCUCCAAUAUGUUACAAUCCUUUACUGUGUUUGGCAGACUAGGAAUUCCUAUUAAAAUAUGUACUGUUGUUUGCUCCUGAAAUUAUAGUGUAGUCACAACUAUUAAUCAAUUCUGCAUUUAAUUAUUUUAAACCUUUUUGUCUUUAGUCUGAAUUUUUCCCUGACUGCCUCUCAUUUAAUGUAAUUUAAAUAUCUUGCAAGAGCUCAACAUUUGGGUCUCUUAUAAGCUAAAGGUUAACCUUUUCUGACUAUGCACAGAAGUGUUUAUUUAGUACGAGAAACCUUAAGUUUUUGUGCUAAAAGGAUGAAUUGAUAAUAAAAAUUUUAUAAACCUUAAAAUCAAGUAGAAACUGAAUGAUUUAUUAAAAAUUAUGCUCACAAAUGCUAUAAAUUUCAGAAUUCAUGUCAUUUGUUCCAAAAAAACAUGCUGUGGUUUGCUAUACCAAAUGGUAUAAAAAAAUUGAUCCAUAAAAAUAAGGAUAUCUUUCACUUCUUAGCAACUUUUCUGACCUACAGCUGAAGCAGAAUGUUUCAACAUUGCAUCCCAUCACUAGAAUUAAAGAAACCUGAUUAAAGAAAAACUUAAUGUACUUCGUUAUGUAAACAAACAAGACACAAUAAAAGGAUAUCACUCAA